GUGGGCCCUAUGUUAACCACACACUGUCUCCUUAAGCCUGCCUAUAAAAUCUGGUGCUGUCUGCUGCAGGCUGGAUUUUUCCUUUUGGGAGCCCCUCUCUCUCACACAGGGAGAGAGCUGUUCUCCUUUCUCUUUCUUCUUCCUAUUAAACCUCCACGCCUAAACUCAGUCCUCUUGGGUGUCUAUGUCCUUAAUUUUCUUAGCGAGAGACUACAAACCCGGGGUAUUUACCCCAGACAACUACCCCGCUUCAUAUUGGGAAUCUCAGCCAGGAUCCCAAGGUACAUUCAUCGGAACGGUGAGUAAAGGAGCAGACCCCAACUCUGUCCUUUCCUUUUGGUGUGUUGUUGUAAUCUUCAAGAGUAGCAAAUUUACGUGGUCAUAUUCUUGGCUUCUCUGCUUAAAGAAUACAACAUCCGACUGGGUGAUUUUAGCCUACUUAUAAACCACGGUUUAUGGAGAUGAAUUUGUUCUUUCAAGCUGCUUUGGUUUUGAAUGCAUUCUGAGGAAAGAAAAGCUAAGAGUUUCUGCUGUAAAUAGAUCAGGCCACUGGUAACCUGGAACAGCUCACUGUGUUCUAGAACUAUGUUCUGUUUCCUCUUGAGACUAUCAUUGGAAAAUUGGCCCAUCUCACUUCAAACAUAUAAAUAAUUCAUACAAGUUGUCAAAAACAUUUUGGACCUAAAUUUAAAAUCAACAUUGUCCUCCCUAAAAUAAAGUCCACAUUGUCUCCCUCAAAAAUAGAGUAUAAAACAAAUCCAGAAUUAAACAGAAGAUAAAUUCCUAUAAGUUAUAAGCAAAUAUUUAAAUAAAUUUUGAUAAGUAUUUUUAAAUAGUAAACUAUAGUCAUCUGUAAAUAUUCAGCUUAAUUAAGUCUUUUUCUCCUAACAUCUUAAUAAAAAUGUGGAAAUCUGUAGAAGCCCAUAGCCCGAGGGAACCAGUGUUAUGCAUUACAGUCAAAAGAAAAAUGAAGAUUUCUAGUUGGUUAUUUUCCAAUUAGCUUUAUAUCUGUUUCCCCAAACAAACACAACAUAGUUUCUUGGUAAUGUUUUCUACAAAUAAAUUCUUCUCACCUUGCUACUCAAUUAUUUUAUUCACUUUGCCCUAUUCUUACCCAUUUAAUUAAUCAUGAUGUGUUUUGAAUUCUGAAAUUUACCUUUUCUUGAUUGAAAGGAAAAAUAAAACUGAAGAAGCAGACUUAGAUGAACCAAGUGACCAUGUUUUACUAAUGUAGGUUAUUUGUUGGAAUUCAAAUACACAUUCUUUUUUUUUUUUUUUUUUUUUUUCUUUGAGACAGAGUCUCGCUGUGUCACCCAGGCUGGAGUGCAGUGGCGCCAUCUCGGCUCACUGCAAGCUCCGCCUCCCGGGUUCAGGCCAUUCUCCUGCCUCAGCCUCCCAAGUAGCUGGGACAAGAGGCCCCCGCCAACACGCCCGGCUGAAGUUUUUUUGUAUUUUUUGUAGAGAUAGGAUUUCACUGUGUUAGCCAGGAUGGUCUCGAUCUCCUGACCUCGUUAUCCACCCACCUGAACCUCCCAAAGUGCUGGGAUUACAGGCUUGAGCCACCGUGCCUGGCCUCAAAUACACAUUCUUAAGCUUCCACCACUAUGUUCGAAACAUGUAACCAAAGUAUCAAUUCUCAUGGUCUCAGAGUAGACUAUAUGUGGACUUAUUCUUUGAAUGAGACAAAAUCUUAAAUUACUCUCACCAGUAGAAGAGAAAUACUGUGCAAUGAUAUAGGGAGAAUUUGACUUGGAAAUUAGAACUUAUGAGUCUCAACUCAGCUGUAUUCUUAAUGUUGUAUGUCAUUUAUGGAUAGAAUACAAAUAAAUGUGAAUAAGGUACAAAACUUCCAUGAGCCAGUGUCCUCAGAAGUAAAAUAAAGAAGCCAAUAUUUAGAAAAAUGUAAAUUAUAUAAUAAUUAAAUUCUAUAUACCACAAAUUUCCAUAGAAAAUAUAUAACUAAGAGACAAUCACCAUGGUGGUAUGAAGUAUUUUUUAAAGCAAAAAUCACUAACUUUUCACAUGUUAGUACAUAACAGAAUCCUAGUUUGUGAGACUAAAAUAAUCCGAUUAUUAUUUCUGCCUAAUAUGUCAUAUUUCAAUAGGACCAAAGGUUAAUUAUUAGGGGAAAUGACUAUGUCAUUCUUGGACCCUUCUGUAUAAAACAUAGUAAAGAUUGUGUAGCAUUGUUUUGCUAAUUUUGAUAUUUGGGGAUUUUUUUUUUCAUUUUUACUUAAUAAUAUUUAAACCUGAGUGCCAUUCACUUGAUACUGGUUUUGAAGUUCUGUCUUAGUUUGGGUUUCACAGAAGCCAAUCAUGAUAUAAGCACCAAUGAAGUAGUAGAGAAAGUAAGAACAGAGAAGAAAGGCCAAUUUAAUGUUAAUUAAGAGGAUUGAGCAACUGGAUUCAAGUGUGUGAGGAAACUGAAUACUACACAGAAACACUUCAAAAUUGUCCUUGAGAAUGGAGAAGGAAGGAUAUUUAUACACCAAUCCCUUCCCUCAUUAGUUGAGGGAAGUUCUAGCCAAAUUUCUAUCCAGGAAAAGAAGGAGAGAAAAUAAAUAGGAUCAAUGUGACAAAUGACAGAGGAGUUAUAAUAUAUCCUAAAUAUAUUAUCAGUAUAAUAAUAAAGGAUUACAUACAACUUCAUGCCAAUUAUUUGGCAACUUAGAUGAAACAGACAAACUACUUGAAAGACACUAGCUACCCAGCCUCACAUAAGUAAAAAUAGAAGUAAAAAAAAAUAUUGAACACUUACAGUGUUCAGGAGUCAUUGUGGAGGUGAGGAAAGAUAAAGGAGAAUAUUCAACAAGACAGAACAAGAAUAUGUCAGAGAAAUAAAAAAGGUCUUGAAAGAUGCAAAAUCACAAAAGACGAAAGAAAAGAAUAUUUCACAAUAUGACAAAAUAUUUUGAAAUGUUUAUUGAUAAUAGGGUUGCGCAAGUUAUGGCUGACCUACAAGAGAAUGGUUUUAGUAGAAUAAUAGGAGUAGAUGCCAAAUUACAACAACUCAGAGAAUAUGUAAAUAGUUGGAUAGUUGAAGAAACUAUAUAUAAAGUACCACUUCAAGAAGCGUGUUUACUGAGACCAGGUACAUCCAUGGUCAUCUAAAAUGUUUGUUCGCAUAUUUUCUACUCCUUUAACACAUAUGGUACUCAGCUAUUUAGAGGUGUGAAACUUCACGCUUAGCUUUUGGACUUUCACAGUUCUUUGCCUACUUUAUCCUUCUGGGUUCACUCGACUUUUCCAAUUUCCCAGUCUCAGUGAACCCAUGCACAUACAAACACAUACUCAUUCUUGAGAAAUUCUGUCUGUUUCUUAUGAACAACCUGAGUGGGUUUCUGAGAACCACAUCAGCACUUAAGACAUUACAUUGUAUGUAUUUGUUUAAAUGUAUGCCUCUGUGAGAUUCUAAAGGCAAAAAUAAUGUUUCAUUCUUUGCUGAUUCAACCAAACACCACAUGUUCUCACUCACAGGUGGGAAUUGAACAAUGAGAACACUUGGACAUAGGGUGGGGAACAUCACAAACCGGGCCUGUCAUGGGGUGGGAGAAGGAGGGAGGGAUAGCAUUGGGAGAUACACCUAAUGUAAAUGACAAGUUAAUGGGUACAGCACACUAACAUGGCACAUGUAUACAUAUGUAACAAACCUGGACGUUGUGCACAUGUACCCUAGAACUUAAAGUAUAAUAAUAAUAAUAAUAAUAAUAAUAAAUAAAAAUAAUUUUAAAAAAAGGAAAAAAAAGAAAAGAAAAACUUUCUGUGGUCCCCAGGGAUUGCAACUUUUUGUAAUCCAUUGUAGAUUGUCCUCUUACCUACAAACAUCUCACUUCUUUUCUUAUUUCUUUGGCACUGGGAGUAAAUUCUAACACCCCGCUAUUUCUUCAACUAAAAGCAAUUACAAUGCCCCUCCUGAAAAGGCAACCUAUCUUUGACUCUCUAACUUAGCCAGACUAGAUUUGUUUUAAUUUUUUAUGUUGUCAUGACAACUUACUCCAAACACACUCAAAUGGGCCAUAAAUUAUUUUAAUUCCCAGACUGCACAAUUCCUAUUUUCUCUUCUUGCAACAUUUCUUUCAUACUUUCCACUCAUCCUUCCUUUACUUAGCUUAUUAAUGGGAUAUACACUUUCUUGUAAGUAGAGAUCAACUGUGAAAUCAGGUUAUUAUUCUUACUAGUCAAGAUAUAGGAACAAUAUGUGUUCCCUGACAAAUAAGUGGAUAAAGAAACUGUGGUGCAUAUAUACAAUGGAAUAUUUUUCAGCCUUAAAAGAAGAAGAGAACUAUACUGCCAUUUGCAACAACAUGGAUGAGCCUAGAGGACAUUAGACUAAGUGAAAUAAGCCAGAAACACAAAGACACAUACUGUGUUAUCUCACUUAUAUGUGGACAGUCUGAAUAUGCAUUUAGGUAGGACAAAUAAGUCUAGAGAUAUAAUGUAUAGCAUAAGGCCUAUGGUUAAUAAUAUUGUGUUGUAUAUAAAAAUUUGCUAAAUGAGUAGAAGUUAGGUAUUCUUAUCAAAAAUGAUUACUAUGAAAGGUGAUGAAUAUUGCUAAUUUGACUGUAUUAAUCAUUUGACUAUUAAUGUGUAUGUCAGAAGAUUAUAUUAUACAUUUUAAGUGUGUACAAAAAAAAUGAAGUUAAAAAAGUGAAAUUGAGUUAAUGAUAUUGAAAAUUAUCUUACCAGUUCAGAGUUUGUAGGUAAACUCUUGUCCAUGAGGCCAUCUGUAGGUGUAUAUUCCUGACUUGUAGAGCUCUCAAUACUAGAGCAUUGCAUUAGAAUGGAAAAGGAAGGGAGUCAGUCUACCUCCUUUUACCUACAUAUCAUAAGCACAUUUUCCCUCCUAUUCUAUUCAUAAGAGCUUAGUCUAUUGGUUACAUCUGGCUGCAAAUGAUACUGGAAAAUAGCAUUCAUUCUUGGCAACCAGCUAAUAUUCAAGGUUCUCUUACUAUAAACAAAAAUAGGAGAAAACAUUGGGGCUACAACCUGCUGUCUCUGCUACAGUCUACCCUUGAAUAUUCAAAUACCCAAGUUCAAGCUUUUAUGCAAAAACAGAACACACUCAUCCUCUCUAAACUGAACCUUACCAAAGAGAGGACCAGCCAAGCCUGCUCAGAGACUACACCUACCUUGAACUUCAAGGUGACGCACAGUCCUAGCCCUCAGGUGUAGAUGUGGCUCUCAUUAACUGGAAAAUUAUAAAAUGAGAGCAAUUUGUCUCUCACCAUAUUAAGGUAUAAUCAUAUACAGUAGGAAUAAGAUUAGCAGAAUAAUAAUUCACAUUCGGAAAGAGGAAAAUGACAAAUACAGAAAGAACUGAUCAAAAAGGAAAGAUAAAAUCCUAUCAUAUGGUGACUAAGAAAACUCCUGUUCUGAGAACCGAAUGAGGUCUUUGGUAAAAUGAUCUGGUAGCUUCUGGUUCAGCUCUUCAAGAGGAAUGGAAAUCUCUACCUUUUUUUUCCCCCCAAAUCCCCGAUGUUUUGACUUCUGAGGGAUUUUCCCCUACUUUUUAUCCUCAGUGGAUAUAGCAGAAGUUGACAUUUCACUAUGUGCCCUGCAUAGGCCUGCACAUUUUUCUCAGACUGACUCAUAUUGGAGCAAAUUGGAGUCCAAGGGGGAGCUUUAAGUUUAAGUUGUCAUAGUCUUUUACAGGCCAGGCUUGUGAUUUCUUCAAGUACUCUUUGAAAGAUCUUUUUUCUUCCUCAGGUCCAUGUGCAGGCACCAACAGUCAAAGAUCACCUCCAGAAAUAUUUUUUGAGCCUGAAGGGCAUGUUUCUUUACUUACUGGCCUCCAUGUUCUGCUUAUUUCUCUUUCAAGGAACUGAUGGUACCAUGAGGCCAUUUAAAGCAAUAACUUUAAUUGGAAAAGCAACACCUUAAUUAGAUUUUUUGUCAAUGGCCUGGUUCUCAUGGACAGGCAGAUAAUCAUAGUAGGAGAUGCUUGAAAUGGUUUGGGUAACAGGUUUCUCUCUUUUUACAGCCGUCCUGUUGCAAACAACUGCAUUCAUUUCAGAACUGCGAGUAGUUGGUUUUGUCAAUACUGUCAAUGUGGUAUUUUCACAUUACCAGGUUCUAAGUUUACUUAGACAUAUCAAGUUCAAGAAGUGCUUGAAUUUAUGUUAAUUGAUUUCCACAUACUUCAGUUACACAUUUUCUAACAGCAUUAGCCAGACAGAGAUAAAUUGGAUACAUUGGAAUAAAUAUAGAUGCAUUUUCUGCAGGCUAUUUUUCUAAUAUAAUAGCAAUUUAACAGUUUGAAGUGUCAUUAUCAAAUGUGUAGUUUAACUCAUACAUUUUACAAAUGCACAAACUAGGCCAAAUCCAGUUUCAAACUAAGAUAUUUUAUUCCAUAAACAAUGCAAUAUCUAUCAAAAAGCACCAUUGCACAAUUGUUUGCGUAAAUAAAACUGUCUUUGAACUUGAUAUGUUUUGAAAGUGGCCAUACAUUUUUGUAUUCUGAUUUGUUUUUCUGGCAUAUAGAACCUUUGAAUCUUUAGAAUUAAAUAUAAUGAAAAAAAGAAAAGUGAUGAAAGGUUGAGGACUGUAUUUUUAUUAUCAAUUUUUAUUGCACUGAUAAAAAAUGAAAAAGAAGAUUAAAAACUGAUUUAAAAAUUAAUCCUUAAAUCUCUUCUUCAAGUGAUUUCAGUUUCCAAUUAAUAAGAUGAGAUUUUAAGAUUUCAUAUUACAUACAAUGAGAUUUGUGUUAUUGUCUUGGUUGCUGCAAAUAACCAGGGUUUAGUUUAUUUUAAAAAUAAAAAUAAUCCUUGAAUCUCAUUUUAGUAGGAGAUUUGAUGAGUAGGAAAGAGAAGUCACUAAUCUGCAUAUUACUUACUUGUAGUCAUACUGGCUCUCCCUUGGAAACAAUAUUUAGAUAUAAGAUAGAGAAAAAAAGUGAAUAGUCACAAAUAAAAGACUAUUUGCUAAGUCAGGAAUAAAAUUCUUGGGAACACUGAUAUUUUGGCAAGUUUACCACCUCACUUAAUUAUUUCUCAGAUAACCUUGUGCUGGAUGCCAAAUUGGACCUUUCUAAAAACUGUUUGAGGAAAACUUAAAUUCAAGUUUAAAACGUGUAGGAAAUAAAAAUGUCUGCACAGCAUUUCUUUUGGAUGUUAUUCGUCAGGACCUUUCUCCUUCCAGAUAGUAAAAAACGUCAUUAACCUUUAUAAUAAAUUAUUGUCACAAAUAAAUAUUCUGCCACUUUAUUUGGGGGGAAUUUAUUGAUCGUUUUCCUCCAGAUUUAACACUGUACUAAGGCAAAGAGGUGCAUAACCAGAAGAGUUUGUGACAAAAUUUUACUUUCAGUAAGUUUAAAAUAUGCAUAUGCGGGCAAGAUUCAAGCCUUUCGAGAUUGACUAGCUACCAGUAAUUUUCUAAGUAAAUACAAAGAUGAAAGUAGGGAAUGAGCAAAAGUUUAGUACCAGGUAGAUCUUUGUUUUAUUAUUGAAUCUUUCACAUAUUAGUUGUAUAAUUAUCCACAACUAACUCAAACACUGAAUCUCGGUAUUCUUAUCUGUAAAUUAGGGAUAGUGGUAUCUAACAGUGUUAUUGUAAAAGUAAAGGUAAUAUGUUUAAUAUUUGUUGGUUAGUGAAUAUUCAAUUCAAUUAACACAAGAAGAUAAAGUAUUAUUGCAUAAAUUAGAUGUACGAAACAAUUUAAAAAUGUGAGAAAGUAGUAAAAGUCAUCUUGUGCUAUAAUGCUGUUAUAACCACAUAUAAAACCCAGGGGCAGUUUGGGGGAAUUGUAGCAAACACUAAUGAGGCAUUAGAUACUGUUAUUAUCCCCAUUCCCCAUUUUACAGAUAAGGGAGUUGAGUCACAGAGAGCUUAAUGAUCUGCCUUAAGUUGAGUAGCUAAGAAGUAGAUAGGUUACAUUGUGCCCAGACACAAAGGCAAAGAGUUUAAAUGCUUUAUCCCACUGUCAUCCUGCCUUCUUUGUUUCACAUUUGGUAAGUUGCAAACAAAAACUUAAGCAUUUUAUUCUAAAUGGUGUACAACACAAUUAGCAAAACUAGAAUUAUAUUUUUGAAACUACUGAGGCAUUCAGAAAGGUGGAAAAAAGCAAUCCUACAUAAGAUAUAGGAAAAUGAAACAAAGAAAAUGGCAAAAAAAAAAACUUUAAAAAGAGAAAACACAAAAUAAGAGAACUAUAUUAGUGCAAAACAUGUUGCAUUUAUUAUUUCAUAAAUGCAAACAGUAUGAGUUCAUCUACGAAAAUGAAAAAAACUCUAUAGAAUUGAUUAAAAGAAAAAGCUCAACCAUAUGCUCUGUAUGACUUAAGCACUUUGCUGGAAAUGACUCAGGCAGUUUAAAAGUAAAAGAUUAACAAUUUCAUGAGUUAAAUGCAAGCAAAAGGAAAAUAAUAAUGAGAUUAUUCCAGACAACUCUUCAGUUCUUGACACAUAAAACCAGAAACCUUGAUGAUUCUCAUCAACUGUGAAGAUUGUUUAUUUUCAUUAAUCUAGUUUUUAUCUCCAUAGCAGGGCCAACCAGCUUUUCUCUUCCAUUUUUCUCAUAUCAUGUUGUCACUGACAUCCAGCCAGCUUCCUCAGGCAGAAAUCUGAGGGCCAGUUACUCCAAUGUCUCCUUCACAAACUGCAAAUCGGUGAUUAGGUUCCAUACCUAAAUAUCUCUUAAAUUAAUUAUCUUCACUACAUAUUCACUCUACUAUCAUCCUUCAUUCUCUUAUAAGAAUAAUGCAACAUUUUUUUAAAUUAGCCUUUUUAAUCCUGUCUUGCUUCCGCCAAAGCCAUCCCCUACCCAAUACCUUUAUGUCUUAAUUCAACAACAUAACAAAAACAAAUAAAUCUAAGUUAAGUGCAUAUUGCAUAUUAGGCCUUGUACUGGAGCUAAGAUGAUGAAUAAAUCCUACACAGUCUCUGUCCUCAGAGAAGUUUUAGGCUGCUGGGAAAUAUACACACACACGUACGCUACCACUACCACAUUACUUAAGUUCAUAGUAAGAGCUGACCACGACAACCUAAUGUUUCCUUCAACUUAACCAAACUUCAGAUAGGCUUCUUCUUGCCUAUGAAGCCCUGACCUCCCUCUCACUUCAGCCUCCACAGAAUCCAGAUAGCCUAAUUAGAGAGGUCCAUGACCUCCCUUUCCUUAGAGCACUUACUUAAAGAAAACUUCUAAUUAUAAAUUAGUCUGAUCCUUUGAGAUUUAAAUCUUUUUAAAAGCCUUCUGCCAGUUUCACAACCCAGGAAUGUCUUUCUCAAGUACCUGGGAGCCAAUUUUUUGAAAUAUAAUCAAGGAAGAUAGGGCCUCUAUCUCCCAGUUUCGGUGAAAUGGUAGGAGCUUAAGUUCUCUGGGGACCUUGCUGUAGUUGUAAAACUACCUCCUGCCCUGAAGAUAUGAGAAAGUGUACUUUUCAUUUGGGUAAAGCCGAUUAUCAAACACAGAUGGCCUAAGAUCUCCCUCCCUCAUCCACAUCUUAAAAAUUUCUCUGCCCUUUGUUUAUGUGAAAAUUGAGUUGAGACUGUGCUCUGGUUUCUCUACCCUAUUUCAAUAGCCUUGAAAAAAGUCUUCCUUCAUUGUUUACCUCUAUCCAGUGCAAUUUUUGAUUUGACAAACUUUAGGAAGAGACAACCUGGACUUGCAUUCACCAUCUUCACAUGGAUGGCUUCCUUUCAUCCCCAGUAUCAGUUCAGAUAUCACUUCUUCACAGUGGCUGUAUCUAACCUGUUCUUUUUCUUCAGAGCACUUAUCCUGAGUUGUAAAUACAUAUCAACUUGUCUUUAUUCCUUUAAUUUCCUACAAGCUAAAGUUCAGCAAAGUGUCUGGCUCACACCAAUACUUCAGCUGAAUGAACACACGAACAUGGACAAUCUGGGGCUUUGAGACUAAGACAAGUGAUUAGUAGGAGCUACUCAGGCAAAGGUGUAAGAGAAGAAAUGAGAUUAGAGUCUUGUAAGAAGAGAAAAACAUAUGGAUACACGUCUUAAAGCAAUAAGGAGCUUGAUGCAAUUCAGGAGCUUUGCAAUAAACAAUGCUAGAUGGAGAUUAGGAUAAUAAGGAAAGCUUCAUGAGCUGAGGGUACUGAGAUAAACUGGGGCUACAUUGACCCAGACAAUGUAAGUUAAAAUCAGCUAAACAAAUUUUUCUAGGACAUAAAUCUAUAUGUCUUUUCUCUGCUUUAAAUCAUACAACAGUCUCUCAUUUGCUUCAGAAAGCCAUACUAUAACAUGCAAGAGCCUUCAUAUUCUGCUUUCUGCUUACAAAUCUAGGUUCUUCUUUUACCUUGCUCCUCAUGGAUCCCAAAUUUCAGUUAUACUAAACUGCUUGCAGUUCUCCUACUGUGCCAGGCUUCUUCUAAUUUAGCUUUUGAUGUAUUGCUCUUUCUUUGACUUGACAUUUGGCUAACAUCUAUCUAUAUUUUAGAAUAUAGCUCAACUGCUGAAUAUUCCUGCAAGAUGUCUUCACCACUUUCCACUGCAUUUAGGUUAAAUGAACUUACCCUGUCCUGCUCAGUACUCAUGGGACUGUCUCCAUCAUGUUACUCACCACGUACUUUCAUACGUGUGGUUUAAAGUCUCUCUGCAAACUACCACCUUCUGCCACAACUACACUGUGAACCCUUGACUAGAGGAAGAAAUGUGCACUAAUUGUCUUUGUUUUCCCAGUACAUCCCACCAUGUCUGACAUACAGUAGAUACUGUAAUUAAUAAGUUAGUUUGUUAUUGGAUGAAUGGUUAAGAAAAUAAGUAGCUUCACAAAGGAAUAGGGAAGGACACAUUACCACUGCUUAUACAUUUGAUCCUCUGCUCUGCAAGCAAAAUCAUUUGGCUGAUGUGGGAGUGUGCCCUGCAGUGUGGCAUCCUGUCAAGGAUGGGUUCCCACCCAGCACCCUGAGCUGCGGGGAUAGCCCUCCACCAUCUGCAACCUUGAACUGGAAUAAGCAGGCACACAAGAGAUGACAUUAAUAGAUGAAAGUGAGGCUACUCUUGCCACAUUAUCAGAAAGAAAUUUUGAGCAGCACUGACUUACGAUGGGGAAGGUAAGAAUUUAUUCCAAUUAGUGGUAGCAUUUUAUAACAAUAAAGUUGUGGGGUGUGUAAAACAAAGAAUUUUCUUUGUUCUCUCAAGAAGUUAAUGAAAUAGCCCUACAUGUAAUUCUGUAGAAAUUCUUGUAUAGAUUCCAAUAUUUCAAAAAAGCUAGUUAUGUACUCAACCAUCUUUGACGCAGUGUCUUUGAAAGCCAUCUACUUCUGGAGUAGUCUUUUGCCUUUUGUAAACUAGUUUUUCCUCAAAGGCAUUGUUUGUAUACAAUGCAUCCCUAGGGAGUUUUGUAAGGCAGAGCAUACGCUGAAUCAAUUUUGGACAUUGUCUCUUAUAAAACGAAAACAUGAUUCACUCAGAGACUCUUUACCUAAACAUAAUAAAACUGUAACUUUUACCUAAUUUAUGGGGCAGGGAAAUUAACUGAACUCUCACAAAUUUGUUUUCUAUUGCCCCCACAAAAAAUUACAACAGCAUUCCAUUUCUGGCUGUGACUGAGAAUUUGGUUUAAUUUGAAAAAAAUGGAACCGUAACCCAAAGGCUUUUACCUGUUGUCAAAUUAUUAAAGGCAAGUAAUAACCCAUGCUCCAUUCUUAUCACUAUUAACAUUUUUCCUUGUGAUUAUUCUUUUACUUUCUUUUAAGAUGAGAAAAAAAUAGACUUUUAUUCUUGACUGAAUAGGUAAAAACCAUCAAGAAAUGUCAGAUUUUCCAGAGAAUAAUUUCAACAGAGAAGAUUGCUCUACAUACAAGAAACUGAGGCCAAGAGAGUUGAUUGACUUGCUUAACACUGAAGCAAGCAUAUUAGCAAUUUUAAAUGACAUUUUCCUAUAAUGUUUUAUAUUAUGUAUAAAUAUUCAUAUAAUCAGAAUUCAGUAUAAGGUAUGUAUCUUAAAGAUUAAAAAAAAAAAAAAAAAACCCUGAACUCUAGUCAACCAAAAGUAACAAGAAAAUAUAUUCAUUCAACAUGUAUUUUGUAGCUGAAAUGCUGGAUGUUUUAGCCAGAAGAUAAUGGGGUUAAUUUAAUUUGGAUUCUAAAUGGUAAAUUUUGAGUUUGAAUUUGGAGAAGCAAGUCACUUCAUUUAGAAUUAUGGUAUAAUUGAUUGGUUCCUGAAAAAGAAAUCUUAAUUUAAAAAACAGAGUUUUAGAUCAUAUAGGCCAUCUGUAUAUGUUUUUGAAGUAAAUAUCUGUGAAAUAUUUGACACAUUCUAACAAGAUCCCCUGCAGUCUUUUGAGCCUCUUCCUCCUCCAGCCGUGCCUCUCAUCUUUUAACCUCUAAUGUAUAUACUUAAAUGGAAAAGGAUCAGACAGUCAUGUCUAUGGUCCUAUAAUCUGAAAAAUAAUAAGCAAAUUAUCAAACAAAAUCUUAUGUAGCCUCAAAUACAAAUAUUUAUAAUCACAUGAGAAAUUAACAGUUAUUCGCUAUUGAUUGAAAAUUGACUUAUUAGGUUUUUCUAAUAUGUGUUUUCAUUAACGAGCAGUAGAGACUUUUCCUGGCCGUCUUUUUCCUUAAUGAGAAAGUACACGUCAUAGGAAAUUUUGGGCCCGGUCACAACUUUCUAAGUGAAGUGACUUGCUUCUCCACAAAAAAAUGACCCCUUCUAUAAAAAUGCUCUGAGGAAACUGACACUAUCUGCUGCCUGGUAGUUGCUAAUAAGAAAAAGAAAGGUUUUUGACAAGUCUUCCCCAGUGAUCAUGACUAGAGAUUUAAAAUGAAGCUCCUUACCUUAUAGUAUAAGUUAUAUUUCUUGUGGGAAAAAUAUCAUUGCUAAUACAUUUAUAUCCCUAAAAGUUUGAAGCCAAGAUCGGACUGAUGGAUUGUGGAUUGAGUUCAGCAAAACUUUUUUAGGCUGUUGUGCUUCUGUUUGACUCCCAUUUAUCCUGCCUACCCUAAAAGACAAUUUGGUUUAAAGUAUUUAAGAACAGAAUCUUGUAUUCUGUGACUUUGGCAGAGAAAGGAGAAAGGGGGUUGUACCGCUAGUGUACAUGAGGGUGAGUUCUCAUUAUGUGCAUCUCUGUGUGUAUCCUUCGACUUAUAACUUGAAAAACCUUCUAAGCUUAUGAGCCAGAACUUCUAUUGUCAGAUUUGUAAAACCCUAGCAGGAAGAUCCAAAGUCACAACUAAAGGGAAUUCUAUUCUUUUUCAAAAAAGGUAAAAUCAAGCAGCAAAUUUAAAUGCCAAAGUAAUCUUUCCUCACAAGAACAGUUUAAUAUAUAAGCUCUAUUCUAGGAGAUGGAAUAUUAUUAAUCCAAAAUGCCACCAUUACAUUGCAUCCUUCAAAGAGCAGCCUCAAUUUCAAAAAUAUAGUGUGGGACUCUGUGAAAAAUAUUUCUAGACUCUUAACCCUACAUUAUGAAAUGGAUUUUAAGUAUUUGGAGCCAAGGAGCUCAUUCAGCUAACUCAUCAGUAUGUGUUUCUAUUCCUUAAAUAGUCAUAUUUGAAAUAUCUUUCCCAAAUAUUGGGGAGCAGGUAAAAGGACACUCCCCUAACUAGCAAAAAAGCAUGGGUUUCACCUUGGCUUGGAAGUCUCUGGUCACUUCUGGGUCUGUUGCCAGAGGAGCAUCACCUUUAUAAGCAAAGAGCACCUGUCAGAGACCAAAAGAUGUACAGAUAGAAACCUCUACUUUUUGUACUGGUUCACUCACUAGCUUUUACGUUCAGCUCCUCAUGUUAACUUCCUGCCCAUUUAUUCACGUAAGACUAAGUGGAUUACAUAUGGGAAACUAGACAAAAUAUCUAUGGUGUGUCACAGAGCUGCAAACUCCUAAGAAUGGGAUAUGUGGUUUCUGCUGUGUCUGAUCUCAGUGUUUCCAGAGACUGGUAAUUUCCAGAGAGUUAUCAUGGGAGGUGAGCGCUUUAGAAGAGGCUAGAGCCCGUAAAUCAAUAACCCUUAAUUUCACUCUCCCUGAAAAGUGUCAAGUUGUCUCACAAUCAGAAUCACUUCAAUUCUCUGUAGGCUAUUGCAUACUAAUAAUAACUAAUUAAACACAUAUUUAAAUCAGAAAACCAAAUAACUCAGUAGACAAAGUGUCAAGAGAGGGCAUUUCUCAAUUUUCUAAAGUUCCAUGAACUCUAAUUAAGACCUCUGAAAAUCUAUAUCAUUCUGUAAAUUUACUCUGAAAUUUUAAUGACUUAAACUUUGUGUGGUUAUUCAUUUGCAGAAAAGAAGUACCUAAGAAAAAGAGAGCUUGUGGGUAACCAUCUGAAAUAUUCAUUUCUUAAUAAUCUCCAGUCAAAGCCAAACUUUUUGCCUCUCCAACAAAACAAAAAAUUAACUGAAUGGAAACAGCGUCAAUAUAAAAACACUAUAGUACCCUUUUCUAAAAGAUAGACUAUCAAGGCAUGCAAUGUAAAUGUUCGAAAAUAUUCUCCCAACUCUUACAUUUAAGGAAAAAUAUAAAGCUUAAAUAUUCAGGCUAUGAUUUUAUCUCAAUAUGACCUAAUAUAACCCCAAAAUCAUCAAGAUAGCCCUACAAAGAGGUGAGUUCAACUAAUGUAACACAUUUCACAAUAACAUUAUAAAUGUUCAGUGCAAUAGUUUUGUUGUCAUUAUGUGUUUGAAUUAACUCUUUAAAACUCAGAAAUGUGCUAGUUAAUAUAUUUCUGCUUCUUUAUAUGUAACGAUGUCCCAAGAGCCUGAAAAAAAAUAACAGAGCUUCAGUGGAAGGUCAUCUGACUAUACCUACAGGAAGUAACACAGUGAGCAAACAAAUCUGACUCCUGGUUUAAAAUCUAGGGUGGAUCACUUUGGAUUUGUAAAUACUAAGCUCUCACAACCCUGAACUUCACUGUCUGAUCCAGCACCAAAACUUAUUUCCAAGUUCCCAAGAAAGCCAGAGGUAAUUUGACCCAUUCACAGAGAGGAUUACCAACACAGUGCAAACACUGAAAAAUUUGCAUGAACAAGUACAGUAAAUAAUAUUGCCUCAUUAAAAUUCAAGCUGUGGCUUCUAAACCAGAUGGGUUAGCAAAAAUAUCUACAUAGCUCAUGAAGGAAAAUAGCCUAUUUGCAUUAAGAAAAAAAAAUCUAGAGUUUAGACAACAUUCUGUAAAGCAAAAAUAUCUUGAUUAUAAUCAUGAACAUUUUACCUUAAAGAAACACAAACCCUAUUUAUUUUCAUAUAAAUGUAUACUUUUGAAUUGAGUAUAAUUUUAUCAGAUUGAAAAAUUAUUUACCUUGCGAGAAAUAGGAAACAAAAAUGUAAAAGGCUUUUUUACUUUUUCAAUAUUAAUUUUAAUGGUCUAAAUUAAAUGACUCUGACUUGUGCAAAUUAAAACUAAACCAAAUGGGUAAUGAGUAUCAUGCUUUAUCAAUGUGAAUAUUCUUAAUGUAAUGAAAGAACUAUAAAAGCAAGAUGCUUUUUAUUCAGUGUGCUCAUCAAUCAUUACCUUAUACUCAGUGAUGGCAUGCAUAUUUGUAGGAAAAUUUUGAAAAAAGAGAUUGACAAUUUUUGGAAAACAAGAUAAGGAUAACUGGGAAAUGGGAAUUUUCCUUCAUAUUUUUAGCAAGAAACCUACAUUUGUUAUUUUUAUUUUGUUAAUAUGAAAAAAUAUGUGAAAUUUUUACAAACAAUUCUAUUAUAUUGAAGCUUUAAAGAAGUUUCUCUGAAACAAGCUCAGCAACAAGAUCCACUCUGAGCCUCUUUUUCAUGCUUUUAAAGAUAAAACAUAUAUAAAUGUAAUUUUUAAACAUAUUUUAAUGAGGCGAUUUCAAUGAUAUGAAUAAGCAAAUAAAAUUAACAUUUUAAGCUGUGCCUAGCAUAUCCCCCAUUUAAUUUGUUUUGGGUAUUAAGUCACAGUUUAAUCAAUAAUGCAAUAAUUUGGAUAUGAUUUUAACAGCUAAAUGGAAUGCUUAACUUUUGUCUCUUCAAUAUAGAUUUUGCCUAUACAUGGAAAUAUCUCUGCUUUUCCCCACACGAAAUAAAUCCCAAUAAGAUACAAAGCAUAUAUAAGAUAAGUUUAAGUGAUAAUGAGAUAGGAAUAAUAUAAGUUGGUUGCAGGAGAAUAGAAAAUUCCAGGCAGCAGUUUCAUGUAACUAGUGAAAGGAAACUGUUGAAAUAGUCAUAGAAGCUAGGAGCUGAUGAGACCCUGAAAAACCAGGGUAUGGCCCAAGCUGGCUAAGACUGACUGGACCCAACAUGGCAUGGAUUUGACCUAGGUUUCAUCUAGGACGUCAUUAUAUGCUCAUUAACAUAUUAAAUCACACAUUCACUAGCACCAUGACAGUUCCAGGCACACCCAUAUUUGGUGUAAAAAUGGGUGGCACCACAAUUCCAAGACACCUCUACCUUUUUCCAGGAACCUUCGUGAAUAUUCCACCCCUUGGUUAAAAAAACCCAUAAAAGUAGAAACCCCAAACUCCACUGUGCAACUCUCUCGAGUACACCCGCCCUCUCGUUUCUUGAAUGUGUACUUUUCACUUUACAAUCUCUGUACUUUCAGUAUUUGCCAACCCAUCCUUUAAUUCAUUUUCGAGAUGGUGACAAGAGCCUGGACACUGGCUGGGGUGGGGUCCCCCUGACAUUCAAGGACUUCCCCCAGCCAACUGGUAUCAAUAACAGGUUAUUGCUAUAUUAAUAAUUAUUUGUCAACUACUUUCAGCUAGGCAUUGCUCUGGGCACUGGGAAUAAAAUAGUAAAUGAGAGCGAUCAACUCCUCUCCUUCAUGAAGCUUAUAGUCAAGCCUCCACUCUGAUUCCCACUUGCCCUUUACACUAUGAAAGCUCUUUUAAUGAUUUUUUAUUUUUUAAACUGAGUCCUCCAGAAGAAAAUUUGCAAUAUAGAAAAAAAUAUAUUUAUUUUAAGGGUAACAUAAUUGCUAUUUGUAAACUGUUUUACUUCAUGCAAAUUAAUUUUGUCAUUUUUCCCAUUCACAAUUAGGGAAAUUAUUUAUCUUUGUUUGGGUGGGGACUAGAAUUACUUGCAUAAUACUUUGUUUUUGCAUAACUUCAUUUGGCCACAAGGGCAAAUGAUUUUUAUAUACAAGAAGCAUAAACCACACAACAGUUCAAAUGCUAAAUGAAUACAAAAAUAAAAAUAUACCCAAAACUCAAGUGUGAACUAUGCAUGAUAUGGUCAAUUUCACGUCUUGAGUUUCUAUAUUCUAAUUUUAAAAAUGUAGGAAUAUCUCCUUCAUUCAAAAACUGCAGUAGGCCAUUCAAUUGAAUGAAAAGAAGAUACCCGUAAUCAACUUACCUAUUAAUAAGAGCUGUCAGUCUAAACAUUUUAAGGAAAAGGGGCAAUGAAGAUAAAACACAUAUAUAUUAAGUGUACUAUUUUUGGUUUGGGAAACUGUAAUUUUUGUGGAAUAGUUAAAGUGUGUAUCUGUUAUUUUAUAUCCAAUAAGGAAAAACAUGAUCACCAUCUGAAACCAUUUUAGUGUAUUUUUUAAGAAAACAUGCUUUUUACCCAAUUAUUUACUGAAAUAGGCAUAUAAUGAAAAUGGAAAGAGACACAUGGGAACUUACAUCUUAAACACUGGCAAGUUUUCUACAUUCCUACAUUAAUAAAAGAACUACCCAUUUGUGUGAGUGUAGGCCUACUCUUGGUCUGUGAAUUCAUUACCAUCUCCAGCUGUUACCGUUAAGAAAAAAGUCCCCAAAUUUGUCUUUUUACACAAACAAUUAAAAAUAAUGAUAUUCUUGUUUCUUUUUCCUUUUACUGACCUUUUAAGUUCUUCAUAGGUCCUUUCUUAUCCUUUGUCUCCUCUCCCCUUAUAGUGCUGUGACAUCACCAGGUAAUACACACACUUGUGUCCAUUGCCGUCUACAUAUCUCACCUCCCAUUUCCCUAAAUUUCACACAUCAAAAACUAUCUGGUAAGUCUUUCAUUCUCUAUGAGUCUUUAAAAUGACUGAUAUGUUAAUGUCUUACACAUUUAAAAGAAAGUGUCCUACAGAGCUUUAGAGCAGGCUAUGAAUUAUGUUCAUUGUCUGGAAUCCACACAGUCUCUCAUCUUCCCUGAAAUUAUUGCAGCAGCAGUAGAGGCGAGAGUAAUGUUUUAAUUUUGAAGUGAUCUUCCAAUCCUUAGAAACAAAACUGAACUAUCAGAGACUAAAUUUUGAGUUCCAUAUACCCUGUCCUGCAUUUUUGGUUGUGGAUCAGAAGAGAGUAACAAAGAGGAAGGAUUAAAAACAAAUACAAUAAAUUUUUUAUUGUGCCUGGAACAAUUGUGCUAAUGACUUUUGUCUUCCCGGUUUCCAUUUGUCUUGAGUUUUAAAAAAAUCAAUAUAAUGAGAGUGUAUUUGCAUAUGUAGAAGGCCCUGUCUGUUGAAAAUGGUUCAGAAAAGAAGAUAAUGUAAAUUGUCCUGAUGUUCCCCCCCUUCCUACGUCUUUCAAUUAAUCGUAUGUAUUCACGUACAUAAAAUUUUAAAAGUAUGAAAUUUGCAUUUCAAUAAAAUACCUUAAAUUGGUCUUACUACAGAGUCAAUGAAAAAAAUUUAAAUCAUCCAAUAUAUUAUUAUAAUAGGAAACUUCCCAUGGGAGAGGGUGAUCAUAAAGUUGAGAACAAUUAGGAUUAAUUGAAUUACUGAGCAAUAAAAGCAGACACAGGACUAUCUGAGCAACAUACAAAAGAGUAGCAAUAUGCCCUUCUAAGAGAAGGCCUUGGCAUCCAGAAACAGAAGACUGAACUAAAAGCAUACAAGCUCACAAAUUUUUAAGAGGGAAAGGAAAUACUCUUUUGAUAGAUUCAAGUGAGCUGUGAAGAUCACCAAGAUAAUUGAAGUGUUUUUGAAAAUUAUGUUGCUCUCAUUGGUAGUGUCUCAGAGCCAGUAUACAACACUAAAAGAUUAUAUCCAAACAGUCCCAAUAUUUCCUCAGCCCCAAUUCUUCUUCAUGUUAUUGAUAUUCACUGCAUUCAUAUUAAUCAUGCAUAGGUUUCCAUGGGACAAAUCGUUGCUAUCCCGCUUCAAAUUUUAAAUAACCCAUUUGAUGUCAUUAAUUUGUAGAGAGAAGUUAUAAAAUGUUAUCCAUUUAUAUAUAAAUAAACUUUCUGGUAAGCUUAGAACAAAAAAGGAUAUGUCCUUACAUUUCACAAAGUAGGUUCAUUACUUCCAAUAUAAAACUGUGUUCAAGAAAAUGAAGACAACAUUCAAACACCAGGAAAUGUGUGGGCUGGAAAUAUGAUGAGCACAGUUUUGAACGAUUUGCUGGACACUUUCUUGUUUACCUUAUCUACUGCAAUGUAAUCAGAACUAGUAGUCAAGAAAAUGUGAAUUAUAAAGCCCUUCUCACAAUUAAAACAAACAAAAUAUUUAGACAAAAAUGAAGAAAAUGAUGGCUGCCAAACCAUUUGCCUUACAGACAUGUGUACAAAUUGAUCAUUUUCCUGUCUAGCUAUUUUGGUUGUAUAGAAUAAGGACAAAUAAAUGAUAGUUAACAAUAUUUAGUAUUUGUUAUUUUAGACAUGUUAGAUCUUAUGAAAUACCUUAUGUUUUAGUCUGAAGGGAAACAUUUACAUUUUAGGAAAAAAUUUAUAGCUAAACAGAAUUAAAAAUAUUUUUUUCUAAUAGGAACUUGGGUAAAAUAUGGAGUCAAAAAGCUGUGAGUAAAAACUUAGAAUACUAAGCAGAUUAGCAAGAAGGCAUAGUGAAAAGAAAAUGUGAAUAAGUGAAUGAUAAAAGAAGGCGGAAUUAAUAGCAAAUGCCUAUGUAGUGCUCACUAUAUGUCAGGGAAGGCUACCAGGGUGCACGCGCACGUGUGUGUUUGUAUGUGUGUGUGAGUGUGUGAGUGUGCGCGUGUGCAUUCCUAAUAGGAAACUUACUAUUCUCAUUUGCAUCUAAGGAAAUCAAAGUAGAGAGAUAGUCACUAACUAUCUGCUCAUUGAUGUAGAGUUGGAAUCAAAUCCAGGAAGCUGACUCCUGUGUAUGUGGUUUUAUUCACUAUAAUACACUGCCCUUUAAGUAAUGCUAUUAGAGAGGAUUUAUAAAAGAGAAUUUAGAAAAGCCAAGGAAACAGAAAAAUAUGAAAAACUCAAAUGUGACUUUGGGAUUCAUUUUUGAGACAAGAAAAGUAGUUAAUAUCCCUCACCAUAAGGCAAUGCUAAUGUUGUAUCAGUAUCAAAGAAAGGACAGGAGAAUUUUCCUUUCUCUUUGAAAUUCAAUUUAUGAUGUCCAAUGCUGUAAAUAUCCAGCAGCAAUAGCUGUGCUCUAUAAAUAUUUAAUACAAAUGAAGUCAUAAGUAUAACUCAGACUAAAUGCUAAUUAAAAAAUAUAAAGAAGUUUGGUAGUUAUUUCCCCCCCACCCCCAAACUACCAGAUGGUGUUUAAUAGGUAUAUGUGACUAUAUUUAAGAAUGGCAUAAUUUAAAUAAUAAUUCAAAAGUAAUUUGUCAGUUAUAGUAAGCAGCGUUCUAUUUACUAUAGUAUAGAAUAGUAUAGUAUAGUAUAGAAUCUAUAGUAAAGAUUCUAUGACUUUUAUCACAGUCCGUUUACUAGAUAGCUCUCCUUUAAUUUUCUACUUUACUACCAAGGUUCUUGCCUCUGGUUUACUAAUUCUAAACUAUUAAAUUUUGCUGUUAUGGCCUUGAGAAAACAUAAUAUAUAAACCACAGAGAGCUUUAAGGAAGCUAGACUUAACUACAAGCAACCUAAAAGGGCUCCAAUCAUCUUAAUAAUUAUUAUUUAACUAACGUAAAAUAAUAAUCCCAAAGAUAGAAAAUCAUCUCACAAAAUAAUCUUAAGUUGAAGACAUAGGAAUACAUGUAAUCAGUUAAACAUCCAAAAGAUGUUAACUAAUAUCAAUAACAUGCCACACAGGUUCAACAUAAUUGGGCUGAGAUUAACCAAGUGUAAUUGUUUUAGUUAUUGGUUAUCCCUGUUCUAUCAGUUGUUAAGAAGUAUUUAUAUAUGUUUAUGCGUGUGUGCAUAUGGGUGUAUUUUAUGGAUUUCUGAAUUUUUAAAAUCAAUUUUAUCUUUAGCUGAGCUUCUUGAACCAUAAACAUACCAUGUUAGUUCACUAAAUUAGUAACAGCUUAUAUAUAAAUUCGAAUUAAUGUCUACCAAGUUGAUUGAGUACACACUGAAUUCUUUUUUUCUUUUCUUUUUUUUUUUUGAGAUGGAGUUUUGCUCUUGUUGCCCAGGCUGGAGUGCAACGGUGCAAUCUCGGCUCACGGCAACCUCCGCCUCCUGGGUUCAAGAGAUUCUGCUGCCUCAGCCUCCUGAGUAGCUGGAAUUACAGGCAUAUGACACCAAGCCCAGCUAACUUUGUAUUUUUAGUAGAGACGGGGUUUCUACAUGUUGGUCAGGCUGGUCUCGAACUUCCGACCUCAGGUGAUCCACCUGCCUUGGCCUCCCAAAGCACUGGGAUUACAGGUGUGAGCCACCAUGCCCAUACCACAAUGAAUUUCAAUGAGUAAGACUUUAUGUAUAACACAGUUUUGUUUUUCAAAAGUAAAUAAUUUGAUAGCUUUUCUUUAUUAUUUCUUUAGUUGAAAUAAUAGGUUGAAUUUGGUUUUCUGAGGCUUCUACCUGUAUUAUAACUAAAAUAAUGCAAAUUCUUAUUGAAAAAUAGGAUAUAAUUUUUUUAAUCUUUCAAAAACUUUGUUUGGAUUUUUGUUGAUAUAUAGUGGGUGUAUAUAUUUAUGGAGUACAUGAGAUGUUUUGAUACAGGCAUGCAAUGCUUAAUAAUCGCGUAAUGGAAAAUGGGAUAUCCAUCCCCUCAAGCAUUUAUCCUUUGUGUUACAAACAAUCCAAUUAUAGUUUUUUUAUUUUAAAAUGUACAAUUAAAUUAUUAUUGUCUAUAGUCACUCUGUUGUGCUAUAAAAUACUAGGCGUUAUUGUUUGUAACUAUGUUUUGUACUCAAUAACCACUCUCACACCUCUCCCCACACUGCCUCACUUCCCUUCCCAGCCUCUGGUUACCAUCCUUCUACUCUCUUACUCCAUGAAUUCAGUUGUUUUGAUUUUUAGAUUCCACAAAUAAAUGAGAACAUGCAAUACUGAAUAGUACUCCAUUGUGUAUGAGUACAACUUUAUUCAUUCAUCUGUUGAUGGACACAGGUUGCGUCCAAAUUUUGGCUAUUUUGAACGGUGCUUCAACAAACAUGGGAGUGCUGUGCAGAAGGUUUUUUUUUUUUUUUUUUUUUUUUUUUUGAGACGGAGUCUCAGUUUGUCACCCAGGCUGGAGUGCAGUGGCACAACCUCUUCUCUCGGCUCACUGCAAGCUCCACCUCCCGGGAUCACGCCGUUCUCCUGCCUCAGCCUCCCCAGAAGAUUUUUAACUUGAUGUGAUCCCAUUUGCUCACUUUUGCUAUGGUUGCCUGUGCUUGUAGGGUAGUGCUCAAGAAACUUUUGACCAGACUAAUUUGUGAGAGAGAUUCCCUGAUGUUUUCUUGUGGUAGUUUCAUAGUUUGAGGUCUUAGAUUUAAGUCUUUGGUCGAUUUUGGAUUGAUUUUUGCAUAUGGCUAUUUUGUAUAUAUCUUCAUUUUUCUUCAUAUGGAUAUUCGGUUUUCCCAGCACCAUUAUUGAAGAGACUGUCUUUCCACCAGUAUACGUUCUUGGAACAUUUGUUGAAAAUGAAUUUGAGGUAAAUGUGUGGAUUUGUUUCUGGGUUCUCUAUUCUGUUUCAUUGGUCUGUGUAUCUGUUUUUAUGCCAGUACCAUGCUGUUUUGGCUCCUAUAGCUCUGUAGUAUAAUUUGAAGUCAGGUAAAGUGAUUCCUCUCAUUUUAUUUUUUGCUUAGGAUAACUUUGACUAUUCUGGGUCUUGUGUUGUUCCAUAUACAUAGAAGGAUUGUUAUUUUUUAUUUCUGUGAAGAAUGUCAUUGGUAUUUUUAUAGGGAUUUCAUUGAAUGUGUAGAUUGCUUUGGGUAGUAUAGAUAUUUUAACAAUAUUGAUUCUUCUAAUCCAUGAACAUUGAAUAUCUUUUCAUUUUUUUUGAUGUCCUCUUCAAUUUCUUUUAUUAUUGUUUGAUAGUUUUUAUUAUAGAGACCUUUGCAUUUUUGGUAUUUAAUUCUUAGUAAUUCUUAGGUAUUUACUUUUAUUUGUGGCUAUUUUAAAUGGGAUUACAUUGUUAUUUCUUUUUCAGACUGUCUGCUGUAGCAUAAAGAAAUGCUACUGCUUUUCAUAUGUUGAUAUUAUAUCCUGCAACUUUACUGAAUUAGUUUAUCAGUUCUAAAAGGGUUUUAUGUGUGAAGCUUUUAGGCUUUUGUAAAUAUAAGAUCAUAUCAUCUACAAACAAGAAUAUUUUUACUUCUGUCUUUCCAAUUUGGAUACAUUUUAUUUCUUUCUCUUGCCUGACUGCUCUAGCUAGGGCUUCCAGUGCUAUGUUGAAUAACAGUAGUGAAUGUGGGAACCCUUGUCAUGUUCCAGAACUUAGUGGAAAGAUUUUCAGUUUUUUGCCAUUUAGUAUGAUCCUAGCUGUGGUCUGUCAUAUAUGACUUUUAUUAUGUUGAGGAGAUAUGUUCCUUCUAUAAUGUUGUUGUCGGCUUCUUAUUAUAGGGGAAUAUUGAUUUUUAUCAAAUACUUUUCAGAAUCAAUUGAAAUGAUCAAAUGGGCUUUGUCCUUCAUUCUGCUCAUAUGAUAUAUCACAUUGUUUGAUGUGCAUAUGUUGAACCAUCCUUGCAUUCCAUGAAUAAAUCACACUUGGUCAUGAUGAAUGAUCUUUUUAAUGUAUUGCCAUAUUCAGUUUGCUAGUAUUUGUUGAGGAUUUUUGCAUCAAUAUUCAUCAGAGAUACUGGCCUAUAAUUUCCUUUUUUGAAUGUGUCUUCAUCUGGUUUUGAUAUCAGGGUAUUACUGGCCUUGUAGAAGGAGUAUGAAAGUACUCCAUACUCCUCUGCUUUUUGGAAUAGUUUAAGUAAAAUUGGUAUUACUUCUUCCUAAAAUGUUUCACAGACUUCAGCUGUGAAGCCAUCAAGUGCUUGGCUUUUCAUGACUAAGAGGAUUUUGUUUUGUUUUGUUUUGUUUUGUUUUUUUGAGACGGAGUCUUGCUCUGUUGCCCAGGCUGGAGUGCAGUGGCAUGAUCUUGGCUCACUGCAACCUCUGACUCCCUGGUUCAAGUGAUUCUCCUGCCUCAGCAUCCUGAGUAGCUGGGAUUACAGGCAUGCACCACCACACACAGCUAAUUUUUGUAUUUUUAGUAGAGAUGGGGUUUCACCAUGUUGGUCAGUAUGGUCUUGAUCUUCUGACCUCAUGAUCCACCUGCCUUGGAGUUCCAAAGUGCUGGGAUUACAG
rnacentral:lncRNA from 1 species